rnacentral:tRNA from 1 species
GCCGGCAUAGCUCAGUUGGUAGAGCAGCGCAUUCGUAAUGCGAUGCGCACCACAUCAUGAUGGUCUGCUAAAUCAACAGCUUAGCGUCGGCA